rnacentral:rRNA from 1 species
AAACGACUCUCGGCAACGGAUAUCUCGGCUCACGCAUCGAUGAAGAACGUAGCAAAAUGCGAUACUUGGUGUGAAUUGCAGAAUCCCGUGAACCAUCGAGUUUUUGAACGCAAGUUGCGCCCGAAGCCAUCCGGUUGAGGGCACGUCUGCCUGGGCGUCACGCAUCAU